UCCUACGGGAGGCAGCAGUUGGGAAUCUUGGACGAUGGGGGAAACCCUGAUCCAGCCAUGCCGCGUGAGUGAUGAAGGCCUUCGGGUUGUAAAACUCUUUCGACGGGACGAUAAUGACGGUACCCGUAGAAGAAGCUCCGGCUAACUUCGUGCCAGCAGCCGCGGUAAUA
rnacentral:rRNA from 1 species